GCACCCAGGGCUGCUAUAGGUCCACCAACUCCAGAUGACGAUGUUGCAGACCAUGACAGCCUGAAGAUGCAGGCAAGACAUUACAAAACCUUGAGCAACAUGUACAGGAAACCCAAUGCAAAACCCAACCAAAGUGACGUUGCUCAAAUUUUGGACUGGAGUUUGAGGCCACACGAGCUUUUAUUGAUGCAGAUGUUACAAGGGAAGAAGACAGGCCCACAAACAUAUUUGAAGCAUACCUGUGCUUCAAAGACAUAGGAAAUGCGAUGGAUGAACUGCAUCGCAUCGUUGGUGGUUCCAAGUGC
ensembl:lncRNA